UGGAAACUGUCUAACUNGAGUGCAGAAGGGGAGAGUGGAAUUCCAUGUGUAGCGGUGAAAUGCGUAGAUAUAUGGAGGAACACCNGUGGCGAAAGCGGCUCUCUGGUCUGUCACUGACGCUGAGGCUCGAAAGCGUGGGUAGCGAACAGGAUUAGAUACCCUGGUAGUNCACGCCGUAAACGGUGAGUGCUAGGUGUUAGGCCCUUUCCGGGGCUUAGUGCCGGAGCUAACGCAAUAAGCACUCCGCCUGGGGAGUACGACCGCAAGGUUGAAACUCAAAGGAAUUGACGGGGGCCCGCACAAGCGGUGGAGCAUGUGGUUUAAUUCGAAGCAACGCGAAGAACCUUACCAGGUCUUGACAUCCCGAUGCUAUUCUUAGAGGUAGGAAGUUACUUCGGUACAUCGGAGACAGGUGGUGCAUGGUUGUCGUCAGCUCGUGUCGUGAGAUGUUGGGUUAAGUCCCGCAACGAGCGCAACCCUUAUUGUUAGUUGCCAUCAUUAAGUUGGGCACUCUAGCGAGACUGCCGGUAAUAAACCGGAGGAAGGUGGGGAUGACGUCAAAUCAUCAUGCCCCUUAUGACCUGGGCUACACACGUGCUACAAUGGUCGGUACAACGAGUUGCGAGCCGGUGACGGCAAGCUAAUCUCUGAAAGCCGAUCUCAGUUCGGAUUGGAGGCUGCAACUCGCCUCCAUGAGGUCGGAAUCGCUAGUAAUCGCGGAUCAGCACGCCGCGGUGAAUACGUUCCCGGGCCUUGUACACACCGCCCGUCACACCACGAGAGUUUGUAACACCCGAAGUCGGUGAGGUAACCUUUUAGGGGCCAGCCG
rnacentral:rRNA from 1 species